rnacentral:rRNA from 1 species
AACGAACGCUGGCGGCAUGCCUAACACAUGCAAGUCGAACGAGACCUUCGGGUCUAGUGGCGCACGGGUGCGUAACGCGUGGGAACCUGCCCUUAGGUUCGGAAUAACUCCCCGAAAGGGGUGCUAAUACCGGAUAAUGUCUUCGGACCAAAGAUUUAUCGCCUUUGGAUGGUCCCGCGUUGGAUUAGCUAGUUGGUAGGGUAAAAGCCUACCAAGGCGACGAUCCAUAGCUGGUCUGAGAGGAUGAUCAGCCACACUGGGACUGAGACACGGCCCAGACUCCUACGGGAGGCAGCAGUGGGGAAUAGUGGAAAAUGGGCGAAAGCCUGAUCCAGCAAUGCCGCGUGAGUGAUGAAGGCCUUAGGGUUGUAAAGCUCUUUUACCCGGGAUGAUAAUGACAGUACCGGGAGAAUAAGCGCCGGCUAACUCCGUG